rnacentral:lncRNA from 1 species
GUUAAGGAUCUGCUGUUGCCAUGAGCUGUGGUGUAGGUCACAGACAUGGCUUGGAUCCUGUGUUGCUGUGGCUGUGGUGUAGACCAGCAGCUGCAGCUCUGAUUUGACCCCUAUCCUGGGAACCUCCAUAUGCUGUGGGUGCAGCCCUAAAAAAGACAAAAGGAAAAAAAACAAACAAACUCCAAUUAAGGAGUUCCCAUUGUGGCUCAGGAGUAAUGAGCCAGAGCAGUAUCCAUGAGGAUGCGGGUUCAGUCCUUGGCCUCACUCAGUGGUUUAAAGGGUUGCUGUGAGCCACAGUGUAGGUCACAGAUGCAGCUCGGAUCCUGCAUUGCUGUGGCUGUGGCCAGUGGCUACAGCUGGGAUUUGACCCCUAGCCUUGGGGGGGGGGGGGGCUGUACUGAGGGUGUGGCCCUAAAAAGACAAAACCAAACAAAACCCCGAUAGAGGGGUUCUAAGAGGGAGAAAGCAGUGGCCUGCCUGCAAGACAGAUCAGGUGGCACUUCUAUACCACCAACACAGAAGGAGAUUAGCUGGGCAAGUUGCUUAUGAUGAAACCACACACAACACAAACGAGAGUAAUUGAAAACGACGGAAAAGAUUUUCGUUAGAAAAAUACGAUUUGAAAGACGUACAAGAUUCACAGGACGUUUGGGUGUUUGAUGCGAAGAAAUAAACAAACGAGAGAAAUAGUCUGUAGGAAAUAGAAAAACAUAACUGCUGACGGUCAAGUCCUGAUGCAGUUCCUUGGCGCUGGGAGAAAUCAAAUUUGGGGAAAGUAGAACACUGACAAGGAAAAAAUGUUCCCAGCAUGCAGAGGAAAGUUUAAAAUGCUUAUGGGGCAAAACAAAUCAGUUUAGAGACGUUGAGAAGAGUCACCAAAGCCAACUUGUGACAAAUGGGAUUUCCUGCAAAGGAGGGUGGGACCAUGGCUCAGAGGCGCUAAUUACAGGAAGGGCAGAAGAGAGGUGUCAGCCAAGGGAGCAGAAAGAUGUCUGCAUGCUGAGCUCUCAGUGAAGCUUUGGAAGAGAACCAGCUCCAGACAUGUUCCAGCAGCAUUCAUACAAGACACUCAAAACUCAGUGCAUGCUCAUGGAGAGAGAAAAAUCACAGAAGAGCCAGCUCUGGUGUGGCUUCAUCUCAUCUCAGCCACAAGAAAGGAUGCCAUGGUAUCAAACCGCCAAGCACUGGUGAGGGAAAAAAGAAAUCACUAUGAAAAAUUCCACAAUUGGGAGUUCCCGUUGUGGCACAGCGGAAACGAGUCUGACUAGCAUCCACGGGGAUGCAGGUUCGAUCCCUGGCCUCGCUCAGUGGGUUGAGGCUCUGGCGUUGCUCUCAGCUGUGGUGUAGGUUGCAGAUGCUGAUCAGAUAUGGUGUUGCUGUGGCUGUGGUGUAGGCUGGCAGCUACAGCUGUGAUUUGACCCCUAGCCUGGGAACCUCCAUAUGCUGCAGGAGUGGCCCCCCCCAAAAAAAUUCCACAAUGAAGCCAUUGUAAAAUUCUCUUCCCCCCAACACAGUGCUAAAAUAAUUAUCUUUAUCGUUAAUACACUCAGGACCCUGGGUGGAGGGGGGAGAGAAACUCCAUUCUAAGGAAGCAAAGGAAUCCUGCAGCCAAGUGGAUUUACCCCCUAAAUGGGACAUUUUUUGCGUCAUGCAGAUUAUUUGCAUCAGAGCAGUCAGGAAGUGAAAAGAGGGUUUGAGGCUUAAUCCACACUUCAGAAAGACAUCAAAAACCAGAGAGCAAAACAGAUGAUGGCUUUGCAAAGUUCUGCGAAAAUUAGGGCACAGCCGGGUCAUCCUUGUCUGCAAACCUAUCAAUCUGUGGAGCAGGGACAAAAUGUCUUUAGUAGGAUUUUCUAACGAUGACUAAAUAAUUUGCAUAUUCUUCUGUGAGGGAGGAAACCAAAAUGAGCUGAUGGUAAUGUGUUUGAUAUUUUCCUCUGUAGAUUAGCGCUCCUUAAAAAGGGGGAUAAAUCUUCCCACGUGAAAAUUUGGAAGUGAAAACCUUUUAAAGGAUUAAAGUACUUGCUAAAAUCCCCUCGACUGGCAUGAGCUUUGAAGAAAAAAAUUACAAUUGUUUGGGAAAGAGAUCUACCCAAGACAGGAUAUUUUUAGAGCCAGGCAUCCAUGAGCCUGCUAAAAUGUCUUUUUCCUAAUUGCAGAAAUUCCAGAGAGUCCCUUGACUUUAUGGAGCACCCUAUUUAAUACGUAGAAAACGGAAGUGGCUGGUCCGGGUCCCCAGGACCGAAUUCCCUUGCCGUUUGUAGAAUCGAUGAAUCCGUUCCUGGUGAGUGUACUUGUGUGUGUGUGCCUUCCAUGAGAUGCUUAGUAGAACGUAAUUCUUAACAUUGACCUUACCCUACAGGUGUUGGGGGGAUUAGGUAGGUAUCUUCUGCUAUAUUGAUUGUGUUGACUGCUGUCUGCAGUGGGUCUUCAGAGAUGGAGAUUCAACUUAGGAUUUCCAUUAAGGCAUGUGCUUGGGUCCGCCUGGGACAAGGAGGGAGCGGACGAGACAGCACGGCCACCUGUGGUCCCUUUGGCUCUGAGCCAUAGCCGAGUUGAGAGCCGUUCAUCCGGUCCAUGGCAUGGCACCUUUGCUGGGCGUGAAUUACAAGGGAAAAUCAGACACAAAAGGAGAAGAGGAUACAAGCAAAUCGUGGACCUGAGUGUGUAGGAUUUAAGCCCUGCUCCUAGCACAGCACACAUCUUCACUCUCUCCAUCUCCACAACAGCCUGUGAAGGAAGGUAUGGACCCUUCUGGCCGAUUCUCCUAAAUUAGAAGUUUGAGGCAGGAUGUUUGAGAAUGCACCUCAAGAUCCCACAAUUAGCAAAUGUGGAAGGUCUGGAUGCAGGGCGUGGGGGAAGGAAAUGACUUGUAUUUAAGUGCUGGGGGGCUGAUGAUUAAUUUCAAAAUAUGGUCACAACCUUUGGAAAACUCGUAAGGUCUAGAAUUUUUGAGGUGGAAGGGCAGAAGUUCCUUCUAGGACAGAAAUGCCCAGAUCCUUGCUGGGGAGUCAUCGGCUUCUCCUGUGUAGCAGCUGCCUUCUCACCUCCCUGAUGGUGACUCUUGGGUCUUCCACUGAGUAGCCAUUCCUGUGGUGGCAGCAGAAGUUAGAGAAGGAGUAGGUGUAGUGUCACAGACUGUCUCCUCAACCAGCCUCCCCUAAAUGCUUCUUCAGUGACCUCUGGUUUUUGGACUUCCACGUUCAUUUCUGCUUGGUCCACUUUUAGCAAGAACCCUGUUCAGAUGAACCAGGGCCCCCAGCCCUCCAUAUCUGCUCACCUCUGAAUGUGGUCACCUCUGUAUCUAAUCGCUUCUGUGCCUGUUCACCUCCACAUCUGGUCACCUCUGAAUCUGAUCACUUGCAUGUCUGGUGAUCUCCAUGUGUGGUCACCUCCAUGUCUGUUCACCUCCACAUCUGGUCACCUCCACGUCUAAUCGCCUCCGUGUCUGGUCACCUCCACGUCUGAUCACCUCCAAGUCUGGUCACCUCCACGUCUGUUCUUCUCCACGCCUGGUUACCUUCAUAUAUGAUCACUUCCACAUCUUAUCAUCUCCUUAUCUGGUCAGAUCCAUGUGUGAUCACCUGCACAUCUAAUCCCCUCUAAAUCUGAUCACCUCCACGUCUGAUCAUCUCAUUAUCCAGUCCCCUCCCUGUGUGAUCACCUCCAUGUCUGCUCACCUCCUGUGUGAUCACCUCCCCAUCUGAUCUGUCUGGUCACCUCCAUAUCUGAUCACUUCCACAUCCACUCACCUCCAUAUCCGAUUGGGUCCUCAUUCUCCACCAUCCCCAGGUGAUGUCCCCCUGCUCUGCCUUCAGCAGGACUUGGUUUAGCUGGAAUCCUCUCACCCCUGAUGUUUCUCUUAGUUGUCUUCCGUCCACAGAUCCCACCUACUCCUUGGCAAUAAACCCCCUCUUGGUCACCUCUUUGGAGAUGAGUCUGGCUCUGUAUACGGGUUACUUUUCCCAUAUUGCAAUCGUCCCAAAUGAAAUCUGCCUUUACCACUUUAACUUUUUCCAUACUCUAUUUUUUCUUUAACAGCAGUAGUAAUAGUAGCAGUUGUUGUAGCAAUAAUUGGAAUAGGCAUAGUCAGGGGAGUAGCCGUAGUAGCAACAGUGGAAGUCGUUGUUGUGUAGCCGUUGCUCUGGUAGCCGUUGUGGUACCAACGGUAUUUAUUACAGCACUAGUUGUAGAUGUUGCAGUCAGAAUACUUGUAAAACCAGCUGUGGUGGUAGUAGUUGAAGUAGUACCAGGGGUUUUGGUAGGAGUAGUAGCCAUCAUCAUGGUAGCCGUUUAGCAGCGGUAAUAGCAGCAGGUGAGGUGACAGUCAUUGUAGUAGAACUGGUUGUAGUCAUGGCAGUUGUACCAUGGUGGCAGCUGUGAUGGGGGUGCCCGUGCUGGUGGUCAUGACUAUAACUGUAGUAAAUGUUAGUGGUGGUUGUGUGAUGGUGACAGUGGGACUAAUCAUUGGACUCAUUGUAGCACUAGCGAUACUUGUAGGAUACUAGUGAUACUUUGUAGCAGAUGUUGUGUAAGUGAGAGCUGUAGUGAUAACUGCAAGAGCUGUGGUGGUAGGAGUACUAAUUAGUGUAAUAACUGUAGUUGUGGCACUAGAGUAGUGUUUGUCUUAGUAGCAGAUUAAGUGCUGUAAGUGCAGAGUUAAGUAGUUCUUGUGGUGGGUCUAGUAGUUCUAAUUAUAAUAAUUGCAGUCGUAGCGCUAGUAGUAAUUGUUGUAGUGUUUGCUGUAAGAGGAGUUGUGAGAUAACUGUAGUACCACAUGGAAAGGUUGUGGUGGGGGUGGCAGUCGAACUCAUUGUAGUCGUAGCACUGGUAUAAUUGUAGAAGUUUGCGGUAGUCAUGGUCGCAGUUUUUGUAGCAGUGGCAGUUGUACUAGUUAUGGCAGUCAAAGAAGUUGUGAUAAUGGGAGUUCCCAUCGUGGCUCAGUGGAAACAAAUCUGACUAGUAACCAUGAGGACGCGGGUUCGAUCCCUGGCCUCAGUCAGUGCGCUGAGGAUCCAGCAUUGCUGUGAGCUGUGGUGUAGGUCACAGAUGCACCCUGGAUCCCGUGUUGCUGUGGCUGUGAUGUAGGCCUGCAGAUGCAGCUCCAUUCAGCUCUUAGCCUGGAAACUUCCAUGUG